rnacentral:rRNA from 1 species
AGCGGAGGAAAAGAAACUAACUAGGAUUCCCUUAGUAACGGCGAGUGAACCGGGAAAAGCUCAAAUUUGUAAUCUGGCUGUCUUCGAUAGUCCGAGUUGUAAUCUAUAGACGUGUUUUCCGUGCUGGACCGUAUCUAAGUCCCUUGGAACAGGGUAUCAAAGAGGGUGACAAUCCCGUGCUUGAUACGACCACCAGUGCUCUGUGAUACACGCUCUACGAGUCGAGUUGUUUGGGAAUGCAGCUCAAAAUGGGUGGUAAAUUCCAUCUAAAGCUAAAUAUUGGCGAGAGACCGAUAGCGAACAAGUACCGUGAGGGAAAGAUGAAAAGCACUUUGGAAAGAGAGUUAAACAGUACGUGAAAUUGUUGAAAGGGAAACGAUUGAAGUCAGUCGUGUUCUUUGGAUUCAGCUAGUUCUUCUAGUCUACUUCCAUUGAACGGGUCAACAUCAGUUUUGUCCGGUGGAUAAAGAUAGUAGGAAUGUAGCUCCCCCGGGAGUGUUAUAGACUAUUAUUGCAUACACUGGGUGAGACUGAGGACUGCAGCUCGCCUUUUGGCCGGUCUUCGGACACGUUCGAGCUUAGGAUGUUGACAUAAUGGCUUUAAACGACCCGUCUU